rnacentral:rRNA from 1 species
GGGCCCGCACAAGCGGUGGAGCAUGUGGUUUAAUUCGAUGCAACGCGAAGAACCUUACCAGGGUUUGACAUCCUGCGAAUCUCUUGGAAACAGGAGAGUGCCUUCGGGAACGCAGUGACAGGUGGUGCAUGGCUGUCGUCAGCUCGUGUCGUGAGAUGUUGGGUUAAGUCCCGCAACGAGCGCAACCCACGUCUUUAGUUGCCAGCAUUUAGUUGGGAACUCUAGCGAAACUGCCGGUGCAAACCGAGAGGAAGGUGGGGAUGACGUCAAAUCAUCACGGCCCUUACGUUCUGGGCUACACACGUACUACAAUGCUACGGACAAAGGGCAGCAAGUUCGCGAGGACAAGCAAAUCCCAUAAACCGUGGCUCAGUUCAGAUCGUAGGCUGCAACUCGCCUACGUGAAGGCGGAAUCGCUAGUAAUCG